rnacentral:tRNA from 2 species
UCCAGGAUGGUGCAGUGGAAAGCAUAGCAGCCUUUCAAGCUGCAGACCUGGGUUCAAUUCCCAGUCUUGGAG